GCUGUGGUCUCACCUGGUGGAGCAGCAACUCUCGUCUCAGCACCUGGAACACAGCACAUCACAGGUAAACAACAAGGGAGAAGGGAGGACCAUGCCAUCCCAACCCCCAGGCAGGACAGAGUGUGAUUAUACAACUAUUAAUACAUGUGUAGGCAGCACCAUGAAACUAAAAAGAUACAAUGCAAUCAUGGGACGCUCAAGCUGACUGAAAUCAAAGAGGAAAGAUGUGAUGAAGAAUUCUCGUCUCAGAUGGAGAAAUGUACAGUCCGACCAGAUACCUCUUCAGGCAAGUCCCAGCUGUGAAUCACUCAGAAUGAUUGAUUGAUUGAUAGUUUAUUGUUGCAGGUAAACAACAAGGGAGAAGGGAGGAACAUGCCAUCCCAACCCCCAGGCAGGACAGAGUGCAGACACGAGUGUGGAACGGAAAAAUAAUCUAGUUAGUGACAGCGAGCUGGAAAAACUUAGUAAGCUAAUAAAUGUGGAACGGAGGUGAAAUUGAAAAAGAAAAGACUGCAAAAAUGAAUGGAAAUAUGCAGUGGUGGGAUUCCAUUUUUUUAACCCCUUCACUACGGCUGGGCCAAAACAGUGCCCCGUUCCGUAUCCGAGAUCGCCGUGCACGCCAAAUUUCAAAUGUCGCUAUUGAAUAUAACAAGUUUUCAGCCAUAAACUCAACACAAUCAUCAUGUAUAAUAUAUGAAAACAUGCAGAAUUAAAUGGUGCACAUAAAGAAACAUAGAUUAAUUGAUAAUGUUGAGAUGUAAGCAUAAAUAAAGAGAUAAAAUAACUUGUAUAUUGGCUAAAGUGAGCCUGGAUCCAGUAUGAGAGUCCUCGGAUAUGGUACGGGGCACGCAAGGACGCAGUAUACGUGUUCUCGUGUUGAAGGGGUUAAUAACAGGUUUUCUCUAUGAGGGAUUUACAAAAAUAAGUUAUAAGCCAAAGGUGUUCAUGGGGGAAAAAUUGAGAACCCCUGAUUUAAGCGAACGGUAACAACCGGUUCUCAGGAUUAAAGAAAUUUCAAGAACAGGUUUUUGCGAACUGGUGUGAAUCGGUUGAAUCCCAUCACUGGAAAUAUCCCUUCCAAGGAGUAAAAGACAUGCCAGGCUGAAAAGGAUGAGGGAUAUGGGGGAGGGAAAUUUUGAGGAAAUGCAGGGUGACUAAUGAAGGCAUGAACAUUUUCCACUUUUCUUUAUAUUUUUAUUUGCACACAAAAAAAAGAAUGCAUAGUGUACUUGACAAAAUUCUGAAGAAAUCAUUACAGGUGCAAAGAGACAGUAGGAUUAUUAUUCCUACGUAAAAUUCCUAUGUAAAACCUUUAAUCACCAUUUUCUCAAAACGUGAAUUUCAGUAAAGUACUUCCAUCUAACU